rnacentral:lncRNA from 1 species
UAUGUCAUGUUAUCAGAAUUACCUACAUGGCAGCUCAUUUAUUUUUUAUGAAACUACCUGAGAAUGAUCUAAGACCAAUCUUAGUAGACAGUUUCAUUGCACAAUUAUCAAGACUGAGAACUUGGUAAUUGUGUCAGUUGAGUGUUGAUGAAACUUCUCUCUUAUGAUGAAACUUCCCCUCAUAAAACCUCACUAGCACAUAAAACCCACUUGGCACAGUUAUCAAGUUCUAUAAAAUCUAAUGAAACCUGCACUAAACAUGUUGGUUUCA